GACGAACGCUGGCGGCGUGCUUAACACAUGCAAGUCGAGCGGUAAGGCCUCUUCGGGGGUACACGAGCGGCGAACGGGUGAGUAACACGUGGGUGACCUGCCCUCAGCUCUGGGAUAAGCCUGGGAAACUGGGUCUAAUACUGGAUAUUCACUUCCUAUCGCAUGGUGGGUGGUGGAAAGUUUUUUCGGCUGGGGAUGGGCCCGCGGCCUAUCAGCUUGUUGGUGGGGUGAUGGCCUACCAAGGCGACGACGGGUAGCCGGCCUGAGAGGGCGUCCGGCCACACUGGGACUGAGACACGGCCCAGACUCCGUACGGGAGGCAGCAGUGGGGAAUAUUGCGCAAUGGGCGAAAGCCUGACGCAGCGACGCCGCGUGAGGGAUGAAGGCC
rnacentral:rRNA from 1 species